rnacentral:sRNA from 1 species
AUGUGCUUCGCCGCCGCCGUCAGCACCGCCGACGCUGGGAUUGGUUCUCCCGCUGGGCCCACCGCGCUAGCCAUAUCCGGCUCCUCCUCCGAUCGAUUCCGAUAAAAAAAGAUCCAAACUUUGAAGCAAAAAAAUAAAAUUUUAUUAAUUCAGAGAAAUCCAAUUGAAAAACAAAGCUCCACACGCACAAGGCGACUUUGGAGUGGGAGAUUGAAAGGGCAGUUUAGUCUUUCCAUCCUAAACCCUUGGGCCUUGUACUUGAAUUAGAAUACACUGCGGGUUUUCAGUCUCCUCCUUGAGACUCCAUUUCGGCUUUGCACCUCUCACUUCUCAGGCGAUUGCAGCUUACAAAAGUUGAACAGAAUGGGUGAAAAGAAGAAGAAGGCUACCUUGUUCAUCCGACUUAUCUCAGCAGCUGGGACUGGAUUUUUCUAUGUCAAGAAGAAGCCGAGUAGGGUGCAAGAGAAGCUUGAGUUUCGGAAAUUUGACCCUCGGGUAAAUCAUCAUGUUCUAUUUACUGAGGCAAAGAUGAAAUGAGCAAGUUUCCACUGCACUAUGGAUGUUUCCAUUAUUGUCCGCCUUUGUUUUUAAUCCUUGUAGGCACUCUGUUUAAAGGUAGACCUAACUCUUAAGAACUUGGGUUAAUUAAUGGUGUUUUCUGCUGUAUCUUGACGAAAGUUCACACUCUCUCUCUAGCUCAAGCAUAAUAAACUCAAAUUUCGAUUGCUAAUCUACCACUCUCAUGCUGUUCUAAAACAUGGGUGAUUGAAAUAUCGAAGAGCUUUAUUAAGAGUUAAUGUGUUGUGGUUUCUUAUUUGGAAGACCUUCAUGCUAUCAUAGCGUUGCUAUGUCUUCUUUGGCUCUGUUUGUUUACUGGGUCUAG